rnacentral:rRNA from 1 species
GAUGAACGCUGGCGGCGUGCCUAAUACAUGCAAGUCGAGCGAACAGAUAAGGAGCUUGCUCCUUUGACGUUAGCGGCGGACGGGUGAGUAACACGUGGGUAACCUACCUACAAGACUGGAAUAACUCCGGGAAACCGGGGCUAAUGCCGGAUAACAUGUUGAACCGCAUGGUUCUACAGUGAAAGUCGGCUUUGCUGUCACUUAUAGAUUGACCCGCGCCGUAUUAGCUAGUUGGUGAGGUAACGGCUCACCAAGGCAACGAUGCGUAGCCGACCUGAGAGGGUGAACGGCCACACGGGAGCUGAGACACAGUCCAGACACCUGCGGGAGGCAGCGGUAGAGAAUCUUACGCGAGGCAGGAGAGCGGAACGGAGCAACGCCGGGGAAGGGAUGAAGGAGUUCGGACCGUAGAGCUCUGUAAUUAGGGGAGAACUAAUGCGUAAGUAACUGUGCGCAUAUUGACGGUACCUGAUCAGAAAGCCACGGCUAACUACGUG